ACAUUUGACAAUCUACUUCUAUUAACUUAUAUUUUCACUGUAUAUAAGUUGAGGGUUUCUGUAAUUAUACCAAAAUUUCCUUCUAUAAAUACUCAGACGGGAAAAUAAUUUCUAAGCACAAAAAAUCUCCCCCUCUUGAAAACCCUUCUUGUAGCAAUGACCAAAUCCAAUGUCAUUUGCACUACUAUUCUUCUUCUUUCACUGUUUUUCUCCUAUGGAAUUCUCUCUACUGAGGCAAGGCCUCUGAUGACACAGAAGAAUACUAAUGGCAGUAAAUUUAUGACUAACGAGGAGAAAACUCCAAGUGUAAUGCAUGUUAUCAGGGUCGAUAAUCACAUGUUACGUGGUAAGUUUUCAGAAAAUAAAGCGCAAAAGCCAGACAGUAGUGCAGAAAGUGAUCGCCCUAUAGUCGAUAAACUUGAGACUGAGAUUGAAGGCGGAGAUUUUCGGCCGACAACACCCGGACACAGUCCUGGAUUUGGCCAUGGUAAUGGACCUUCAAGCAUAGAAAAGGGUGUGUAGACAAAUUAUCUCCUGUAUUUGCCUAGUAAACAAGUGUCUAGUAUUCAACAAAUUAUAUAAGUGUUUAUCAUUAUGUUUAAAUGCAAUCUUCUUGCAACAGUCCAUUUCUUGAAAAAUAUCCGUAAGAUUUGAAAAUUGACCAGUACUUGUAAGUUUAUUAAUGUUGUUAAAUUAUCCUUUAUAUAUAAAUCAUGGUAUUUGUUUAAUUUUUCUUUUGUAUUUGAGAUACUGUUGGGGUGGUCGAGCUUAU
rnacentral:lncRNA from 1 species